rnacentral:rRNA from 1 species
CAUGCCGCGUGCAGGAUGAAGGCCUUCGGGUUGUAAACUGCUUUUGUACGGAACGAAACGACUCUGGUUAAUACCGGGGGUCAAUGACGGUACCGUAAGAAUAAGCACCGGCUAACUACGUGCCAGCAGCCACGGUAAUACGUAAGGUGCGAGCGUUAAUCGGAAUUACUGGGCGUAAAGCGUGCGCAGGCGGUUAUGUAAGACAGAUGUGAAAUCCCCGGGCUCAACCUGGGAACUGCAUUUGUGACUGUAUCGCUGGAGUACGGCAGAGGGGGAUGGAAUUCCGCGUGUAGCAGUGAAAUGCGUAUAUAUGCGGAGGAACACCGAUGGCGAACGCAAUCCCCUGGGCCUGUACUGACGCUCAUGCACGAAAGCGUGGGGAGCAAACAGGAUUAGAUACCCUGGUAGUCCACGCCCUAAACGAUGUCUACUGGUUGUUGGGUCUUCACUGACUCAAUAACGAAGCUAACGCGUGAAGUUGACCGCCUGGGGAGUACGGCCGCAAGGUUGAAACUCACAGGAAUUGACGGGGACCCGCACAAACGGUGGAUGAUGUGGUUUAAUUCGAUGCAACGCGAAAAACCUUACCCACCUUUGACAUGUAC